rnacentral:rRNA from 1 species
AAAACCCCCCAAUUUUUCCAAAGGUUGACCUCGGAUCAGGUAGGAAUACCCGCUGAACUUAAGCAUAUCAAUAAGCGGAGGAA